UACGUAGGGUGCGAGCGUUAAUCGGAAUUACUGGGCGUAAAGUGUGCGCAGGUGGCCGCGCAAGUCGAGUGUGAAAUCCCCGAGCUUAACUUGGGAAUUGCGCUCGAAACUACGUGGCUCGAGUGUGGCAGAGGAAGGUGGAAUUCCACGUGUAGCGGUGAAAUGCGUAGAGAUGUAGAGGAACACCGAUGGCGAAGGCAGCCUUCUGGGCCAACACUGACGCUCAUGCACGAAAGCGUGGGGAGCAAACAGG
rnacentral:rRNA from 1 species